rnacentral:rRNA from 1 species
CGGGAAACUGGGGAUAAUUCCGGAUAACGCACAUAUGCUGGAAUGCUUUAUGCGUAAAAUGGAUUCGUCUGCCCAAGGAUGGGUCUGCGGCCUAUCAGGUAGUAGUGGGUGUAAUGUACCUACUACCUAACAACGGGUACGGGUUGUGAGAGCAAGAGCCCGGAGAUGGAUUCUGAGACAUGAAUCCAAGGCCCUACGGGGCGCAGCAGGCGCGAAAACUUUACAAUGCGGGAAACCGUGAUAAGGGGACACCGAGUGCCAGCAUCAUAUGCUGGCUGUCCAGAUGUGUAAAAUACAUCUGUUAGCAAGGGCCGGGCAAGACCGGUGCCAGCCGCCGCGGUAACACCGGCGGCCCGAGUGGUGAUCGUGAUUAUUGGGUCUAAAGGGUCCGUAGCCGGUUUGGUCAGUCCUCCGGGAAAUCUGAUAGCUCAACUAUUAGGCUUUCGGGGGAUACUGCCAGGCUUGGAACCGGGAGAGGUAAGAGGUACUACAGGGGUAGGAGUGAAAUCUUGUAAUCCCUGUGGGACCACCUGUGGCGAAGGCGUCUUACCAGAACGGGUUCGACGGUGAGGGACGAAAGCUGGGGGCACGAACCGGAUUAGAUACCCGGGUAGUCCCAGCCGUAAACGAUGCUCGCUAGGUGUCAGGCAUGGCGCGACCGUGUCUGGUGCCGCAGGGAAGCCGUGAAGCCCGCCACCUGGGACUCC